UGGGCCCGCAGCUCCUCUGUAGACACCGAGAAUGUCAAAGAAGAAAUGAAGUUAAUAAAGACCAAUCAGCACUGCAUCAGGGCUCAACAACACUGCAGUACUGGUCUUCUGGAAGAACAGUUGCCUCUGCCUUAUCAAGAAGCUGGUGAUGCAGGAAGUCAUCACCACGGGUGUUGCUUCCAUAGCCAAUCUGCACCUGCUAGAUUGCACUGGCCAAUGAAAGAAUGCGUCAUGCACUAUAACCUUUCUCCCCACUUCAAUCAGUUGCCAUUUAAUUCUUGAGAAAAUAUAUCUGAUUGGCAG
rnacentral:lncRNA from 10 species